rnacentral:rRNA from 1 species
UACGGAGGGUGCAAGCGUUAUCCGGAUUCACUGGGUUUAAAGGGUGCGUAGGAGGGCAGGUAAGUCAGUGGUGAAAUCUCCAAGCUUAACUUGGAACUGCCGUUGAUACUAUCUGUCUUGAAUAUUGUGGAGGUGAGCGGAAUAUGUCAUGUAGCGGUGAAAUGCUUAGAUAUGACAUAGAACACCAAUUGCGAAGGCAGCUCACUACUCAAUUAUUGACUCUGAGGCACGAAAGCGUGGGGAUCAAACAGG